GGGGAAGGGCAUCAGGCUUGAGGCUGGCUUCGCUCUGGAUCUGAGCACGAAGAGGAGAAACGGCCGGCGCUGGACGCACCGCAUUCCGCAUGGCGGAAACCUUCCCUUUGCCGAUCACGUAGACGGUGCAGAAAUCAGUGGAGAUGUAAGAGACCUGACGAAUCCACCCUUCGAUGAGGCACCGACCACCAACUUCUCUAUGGCAGCAUGGGAAACAAAUUCGAUUAUGGCCUUGGCUGCAUCGACAUCUUCCAGCAGCACAUCCUUGCAGCGCACCUGUUGACACCAUCUUGUCUAAAAUUACAGAGAUUCGCAGACAACAGCGACUCCGACACAAAAAAGUCUGGCACUCACGUCUUUACGUGUGCAGAAGCAGCGAAACGGAAGAAACAACUCCUUCGAUUGAUGGUCCGUCGGCUCUUUGAAGCCACCAUCAUCAUCUAGGUUGGCAGCUGUAACGCAUGAAGCAGUGACAGGAUGAGGAGAACAUACAUGGAAGCCCAAAGUGGAGCACAGCCAUGGCGGAAGAAGGAAGGAAAUAAGGAGGGGGUAAAGAGAUGGUAGCUCACAUGGUUGGCUGGUGAGCUUGACAUGGAUGAGGGUGAGGGUCUGGCCCCUGGCGAGAAGGUUGUCCACUGCCCAUUUCAGAGCGUUCUGGCUUCCUUUGUCCUUGUCAAUGGCCACCGCCACCAGUGGACAUCCUGCAUCCACUUCCAUCUGCUCCGGGUUCCUGCGACAGUACAUUAUGCUCGCCUUGUCUUCCUCUUCUCCGUCUCGAAGUUCUUGGCCUCUGUUUGAUCCAACCUUCGAGAGGAAGAAGAGCAAAUAGUAGGCAAUCUUGCUCUCAGGUACCAAUGAUAGUAUACCACUUUUAA